rnacentral:misc_RNA from 1 species
GAUGAAUAACGCAGCGAAAUGCGAUAAGUAGUGUGAAUUGCAGAAUUCAGUGAAUCAUCGAAUCUUUGAACGCACAUUGCGCCCCUUGGUAUUCCAUGGGGCAUGCCUGUUCGAGCGUCAUCUACAACCCUCAAGCCCUGCUUGGUGUUGGGCGUCUGUCCCGCCCCCGCGCGCGGACUCGCCCCAAAUCCAUUGGCGGCGGCCCUUGCCUCCCUCUCGCGCAGCACAUUGCGCUUCUCGAGGCGUCGCGGGCCGCGCUCCACGAAGCACGCAAACCAGUCUUUGACCUCGGAUCAGGUAGGGAUACCCGCUGAACUUAAGCAUAUCAAUAAGCGGAGGA